CCUGCGGCCACCAGCUACCCCCUGCUUCCUGGAGGGUCGGGCGCUAAGCCUCCGCUGCCCCGGGGCGGGUGACACAGCGGAGCCGGCGAUGCGGGGCCGGCCUCGUUGUUCCAGUCUCUGAAAUGGGGCAUCGGAUGGCCGGUGGGGGGCACCCCGGGAGAGAGCGCUCCAAAGUGCCAGGCGCGGCGCCCUGCGCGCAGCGAGCGCCCCAGCCAGGGGCUGGUUAUGACUUGGCUGGACCAGCUCCAUCCCUGUCGCCCCCUCCCUCCCAGCCCUGCCCUGUCCUGCCCUGUCCCAUCCCUGUGGUUCUUCCUGUUGCAUUGGUGUGGUCCCCGUUGGCUCCUUGCCUGUCACUCCUUUGCGCUCCAUCCUGGUCGCUCCUUCCCGGGCUUAGCGGUCCCCCUUUCCAACUCCAUUCUCUCAGCUGCCUCUGGGCCGCUUACCUGGGGACUGUAGGCUUGUUGCUUAUUGUCCCAGGUAGUUAAACUGCUGUUUUCAGUGCUUGCUCUUCUUGAAGUCCAUUAAGUCUAGUCACCUUCUUCGGCUUCUCUUCUAUUUUGUGCCCAGGCAGGAUUUUGACCCACUCAGUAUUCUUUUUGGUGUCAAGUGUGUCACCUGAGCUGCUUUCCUCAACUUGCAGAUCUACUGGUGGCACUUUAUUAAAAAAUUGAAACGGGAGUCACUUAAAAAGGCACUUGAAUGGGUGAUUCCAGACAGGAAUUUGUUGUUAAAUUAUCAAAGGAGGGCCCGAUUGAAUUGGCGAGGGUCUCGGUGAGGUCCGUACCAAGUUGCAAUUUUCUCUCAAAUGAUUUAUUAUUAAGGAACUAGUAAAAUUUUUUGCUAGUUCAUAUCAUUAGCACUUCCCCAGAAAAAACUUUGUCAGGUUAAUAGUGAGUUUUAAAUAGUGUAUCAAAGCGUCAGCGAUGGAUUUUUUUUUCUCUAGCUACUUUCCUAAUUAACACCAUCAUGAGUUGUACAGCUAAUGCGGUUCCUUGAUGCCAAAUAGCUCUUGGAAUUGAUGCUCAAAAGAGGCAUCUUGUUUAUGGUGAAUUUGAAACCAUGCAAUUCUGUAAAAUAUUGGAAUCUAAACCAAAGUUAUUGUCCAUUUGAAAUCAUCAGUCCUUCAAGCGUUAGGCGCCCAAGAUUGCUUAAAUGUUACCUAAUGCUAAGUGAUCAUCAUCUGAUUUUUUUACAAGUCAUCUAUGAGCCCUAUGAUACAGAAAAUACCAGUCCCCUUGUUAUUUGUUGUGAAAAGCUAAAUUGUGCAAAUGAAGACAUGCUUGCUAGAUAUUUUGGCUUGCUUCUCCUCCUUAGCCCAUGCCUCUUGUUGGUUUUGCAGGAUGUGCUACUCUUUGAUAGGCAAUGCCAAGUAGUGAAAAUGAGGGAAAAGUGCAAACCUUUCUGCAAUGUCCUGAGUUUAACACCCCUAUUCCAGAGUGUAGCAUAUCUGAAGCUAACUGAAAAAAUCAAUGCUGCUUAAAAUUUCCGGCAAAUGGGAAACUUACUUAGAGAACAAGAACUCCUAUAUCAAACCUAAAUUUCACCGAAAAAACUGUGCAUUUCUCAUGGUGUAGAAAAAGGCUUAAUUCCUUUUUUCUCUUGCCUUUCCUAGUGUCUCUCCACCACCCAAAGGCAGGGAGUCCUAAAUAUGUAGGGUUUCUAUAUAUAAAAUUGAUAAAUCUCAACUCAUGGGCAGUUUUUUUUUUGGGGGGGUAGCAUAUAAUGUUACUAAAGUUAGGAACUUCUGUUCAGUUUUUUUUUUUCUUGGUGUUUGGAACUUAAUCUGACUUCUGCUUUUUUAGUGUCCCUCUUAAGAACGUACUUAUGCACUUAGGGUGUUCACUUCCUUGUAUGAAUGCCUUUGUUUUUCAGUGGUAUUCUUUGGUAAUGCUUUCUUUUAAGGCAGAGUAAGUGACAGGCAGCAUAUUUCUCAUGACAUUUGAAAAUUGAGAAAUACCAACUAGAGAGUAAUUUUAGGAAACAGCUCUUCAGUAAUUGUUAUUCUGUUGCUCUUUUUAAAAUAGACUCUCGAGUUGGGCCAUUGGAACCUCCUCCUGAGACUCUAAUUUGUUUUCUACUUAUCUUAAGCUUUAGUUUUGUAAUGUAGCUAUUUACAUAGUAACAGUCACUCCUUGUGCUGUGCUAGGAUUCUGUUACAUUAAGAUUAUCAGGUAAAACAUCUUGCAAAAUUCUCUUUACCACAGGAUGGCAGUUAGUAGCCUACCUAUUUGAUUUGGAGGUUGGGGGUUGGGGAAUUUCUAGAUCCUGUAAGAAAGUUAAUUGCGUGUUAAAAUGCCUCAGCCUAAUGACUUCAAUAGCUGGUAUGACUUCACACUAUUGGUAAAAGGGAUACGGGUCAAAUGUUUUCUGAUAAGUUUCUAUUUCAGCUUCAUUAUAGAGCGAGCCAUGUGAUUGCCAGUUUUUGGUAUUCUUGAAAGAGAUGUUCAGAUUUGUAUUUUUAGUAUCUGAAUGAGAAGCAUACAUUUUAAUUUGCCUUUGGUCUAUCACUAGUGAUUUUUUUAUUUCCAGCAAAUUAUUUGCAGUCACUAUUCUUUGUGCUUCCUUAUUUCAGUUACUUUGCCUUUUCCGCAGUUUUAAACAGAAGAGCAUCAGAACGAAAUAUCUAGCUAAUUUAAAUGAAACAAUGGGUUUGCAGCUUCCUGCCUAUUACAGGAGAGUCUCAGAAAAUGGAGCAUUCUGUCUAGGGGAGAUUUUGCUUCCCUGAGAUGGCAAGAGGCAAACAUUUUGUUAUGCUGACACUUUAUUCAGUUAACCAACCAAUGAGUGCAAAUCCUGGAAAAGCUGACUGUCCAAAUGGUAUAGCUGCUUUAGUUUACUGAAAUGUUGUUGAGCUAAUGUAGCUGAUAAUGGGGCCUACUGGGAGUGGUAAACUGUGACCCAUAGACUCCUUUGCAGGCCCAGUUAAAACAGGAGCAUUUAGAUGUGCAGGCCAGUUGUUUUACAUCAUGUUGGAAAAUAAAUACCUUUAUUUAAGUAAAGUCUAAUUCAUAAGCAAAGGCCCACAAAGGGUCAACAUCUUAAGCCCUGGAGUGAUUCAGACGACUUUUACUGUAGGCUGUAUUACUCUGUUACUCUUUUUUUUAAAAAAAAAAAAAACAGAAUGAAAUUCAGAUGGCUUGAAAUCACAUAUAAUUGAAGGCGGUUGAGUAAUGUGAACUUAAUCUUUCCCCUGGAGUCUCAUUUCUAUUUACUGGACAUUGCGAAUGUUGGAUCACCUAUUGCAAAGCUUGUCCUUUCAAAGUAUUCAUACGAUAUGAUAGGAAGGUCUGAAACAACAUUUUAAAGAUUCUUUAUAAUUUUCUAGGAGCACUGACAGUCCUUAAAGGACAUUUAUGAUACCGUUUAUGACAUUAAUUCAGUACAUAGUUGUAGAGCCAUUUCUAUGAGCCAGGCACAGGGAUACUAUGACAAACCCAGCCACAGCCCCUUCCUUCGUGGAGCUUAUAGACUAGUGUGAAAUACAAAGAUUUGAGCCAAGAAGUAUGUUUGCUUUAAAGUGUAAUUGUUUGAAGAUUUUAUUUAACGACAAACAAAUAGCGUUCGGAUGACUUUUAUUACUCUAUAUGCAUAGAAUAUAGAAUAAUAACAAAGAAUGAAUAUAGAAUAUAGGAUAAUGCGUAGAACACAUGAUGUCUGGUGUUUUACAAUAAUUUGUUAGUGAGUACCUUUGAAGAACUAUCUAAACAUAGUCUCCAUAGUGAUAUGGUAGUUUGCAUCUUUCUGUUUGUGUAGCCACCACAUGUAAUUGAUCUUUAAAAGUGGCCCAGUUUUCUUCUUUAGUGGACAUGGAGUUUAUUCGGUAAUUGUUUAACUCCAAUCAGUAAGUGAUUGGUGGAUAACUUGAAAUAUUCCUCUCCGUUUAGGCUGCAGAGUUUUCUGUGUCUUCACUCUCCUGUGCUCAUAGCCUAAUUUUGAACUGAAAAGUCCGUGUUGAAAGCACAAAUAGCCUUCAGAAAGAAAGUAUUCCUUAUUAUUGAUAGGAGUAUUUCUAUGUGUAAGAAACGGUAGUGUUCUUGCUUCUUUUUCAUUGAGGUACAAAUUCAAACCGUAAUUUGUUCUGACCUUACAGUUAUUAUUUCAUUUUUGGUCCGAGUUAACUUUGCCAGUGACUUGAAGAUGCAAAGAGUGCAUGUAGAUGUCAAUUCUUAGAAAUGGAUGUUCCGAGGCCGGGCGCGGUGGCUCACGCCUGUAAUUCCAGCACUUUGGGAGGCUGAGGUGGGCGGAUCAGGAGGUCAGGAGAUCGAGACCAUCCUGGCUAACACGGUGAAACCCCGUUUCUACUAAAAAUACAAAAAAAUUAGCUGGGCGUGGUAGCGGGCGCCUGUAGUCCCAGCUACUCGGGAGGCUGAGGCAGGAGAAUGGCGUGAACCCGGGAGGCGGAGCUUGCAGUGAGCCGAGAUCGCGCCACUGCACUCCAGCCUGGGCGACAGAGCGAGACUCCGUCUCAAAAAAAAAAAAAAAAAAAAAGAAAAGAAAUGGAUGUUCUUGUGAAAUCAGUUUUGGACCUAGAAUCUGUCAAAGCUGAGCAUCGUGAAAUGCUUCGAAUCGAGAGCCUCAUAGAUCUCUCUGGGGUACAAGCAGUCCCAGCUUUUACAUGCAAUGUGUUCUUAGAGACAGCCUCUUACAGUGUUUCCCCCAGUACGCUGAGUUGGACUUUGCCAAACAUGUGUUUGGACAAGGAUAGAAGCUAUCAGAGGAAGGUGUCAAGGCUUGAGGAAGGGAUGCGCAGGUCUUUUUCAGUGGCUGGCCAGCAGAGCAGUGAAAUGCAAAGUAAUAUUUUUUUAUUAUUAUUUUUUUUUAUUAUACUUUAGGGUUUUAGGGUACAUGUGCACAAUGUGCAGGUUUGUUACAUAUGUAUCCAUGUGCCAUGUUGAUUUCCUGAACCCAUUAACUCGUCAUUUAGCAUUAGGUGUAUCUCCUAAUGCUGUCCCUCCCCCCUCCCCCCACCCCACAACAGUCCCCGGAGUGUGAUGUUCCCCUUCCUGUGUCCAUGAGUUCUCAUUGUUCAAUUCCCACCUAUGAGUGAGAACAUGCGGUGUUUGGUAGACCUAAAACCAUUAAAAUCCUACAAGAAAACCUAGGCAAUACCAUUCAGGACAUAGGCGUGGGCAAGGACUUCAUGUCUAAAACACCAAAAGCAAUGGCAACAAAAGCCAAAAUCGACAAAUGGGAUCUCAUUAAACUAAAGAGCUUCUGCACAGCAAAAGAAACUAUCAUCAGAAUGAACAGGCAACCUACAGAAUGGGAGAAAAUUUUUGCAAAGUAGUAUUAAAUAGCUAGCAGGACCCCUGGCCUCCCUAGGGUCCCUGGAGCCCUGGCAAGGGAAAGAGAAGUUUAACGCCCAUGAUGUAAUAAUGGAAUAACUACCUUUAAUUGAGAGCUCAUCCUCCGUCAGGCAGUUGGCAUAAUUAGUUCAUUUGUCCCCACAAUACUUUUACCAGGUGAGUUGCAUUAGCUCCAUUUAACAGAAGGAGCAGACACUCAGGGAAGUAAGGAGCUCAGCCCAGGUGACACCUGACAGUGGGAGAGGCAGGAGUGACGCCCAGGUUUCGCCCAGCUCGGGGUCUUUCCCUGCCCAGGCAGGGUCUUGCUGGGCUGCCCCACCAAAAACGAAUACCAAACUCCCUCACGUCUUAUUUUGCAAGGAAUGGAUGAAACUGUGAUACAUUUUUAUUUGGGGGAAAAAUCCUUUUUCGUACUCUCCCGAUCAGCUACUAGUCCUCAGAGACUGAUAGAGAAUUCCUCUGGGACCUGCAAAAACGGUAAUUAUGAUUAAGUGAAUAAGCAGCUUGUUCCUUAUUUCCCAUGAGCUUGAAGGUUAAAUGCCUAUUCUGUUUAACACAAGCCAUGCAAUCUUGCUGGUGUUAAUGAGAAAUUGUGUAAUACACCGUCCCACCCCCCCAGCUUCAAAACAGGAUUUCUACUGUCUUUUUAUUUAGAAAAGAGGCCACCUGAGCUGCCCUGUCUCCUUUUUAUUUAAAAAAGGGGCAGCCUGAGCUGUCCCCUCCCCUGAAAUUUUCAUUUCUGGAAAAAGAGUAAAAGGGAAGAACAAUAUUUUUGGCUUUAUUUGCAAUAAAAAUCACUUUCUCAUUCACAUAAUCUUCCUUUGUUAAUACAGUCACAUAUCUGCGGACCACUGUAGGUGAAAAUGUAGGCUGUCUGCAUGGCUAUCAUUGUCUCUUCUUAUUUAUUCUCUGGACAUUGGCAAUGGGGAAAUGGAAAUGAUUAAUUUGGCAACUUUUACUCUAUUAUUGCAAAAUCAUUUGUAUGUUUCAGGAGCAGAAAAAGAUGCCGAUGUGAAAAUAGCCAGCCCAGACCUUCAUCCUUAGUGCACCAGAAGGCCACUGUCAUUGCUGGGCCCCUGGUUUUCCUGUGUCAUCCCUACUACCUACCAAACUGUCAUAGAAGAGAAGGUUCUAAAUCAGAAGCCAGACGUAAGGAUCUGAUUCCACUGGCAGCUUGCUAUGGCACCUCUGCAAGUCACUUAAAUUUGCUGUAUUUAGUUUCUCCAUCAGUAAAAUACAAUAUCUAUUUCUUUCUGAUUGUAUAAUGUCCCAAUAAAAAUCUGCCUUGUGAGCAUUUUCUGUCUAUGCAAUACAUUUGUAAAUAAUAGGAAACAUUAAAAAUUACCCAUAUUGAAUUUCAGACAUGGGUAACUCAGAAAAGAAGAUGAGAAGGAAUAUUAAAAGAAAUGAUAAAAACACUGAUACUAUAGGGUUAUUGUUGUUGAGAUUAUGUAUAGUAUAAGAUCCAAGUACACCUUUAAAAAAGUACAACAUAAUAGCGAAUGUUAAGGCAGUCUUGCAAGGAGACCCUGGUACCAUGUGCUCUGAGGGAGGAGGGAGUGGGUUUGGGAGGCAGGACUUCUGAAAAGCUGGAUGAUUGGCUGGAAUGGAGAAGAGCAAUUGUUGAGCCUUAGACUCAUAAGUAGGUUGAUUGCCCAGAUUUCUCAGUUUUCCUCCUCUAGCUGCUUAUUGUGGUACUGUGUGUCCAGAACCUUCUACACAUGAUACCUCACUCACACCUUUUUUUUUUUAUUAUACUUUAAGUUUUAGGGUACAUGUGCACAACAAGCAGGUUUGUUACAUAUGUAUACAUGUGCCAUGUUGGUGUGCUGCACCCAUUAACUUGUCAUUUACAUUAGGUAUAUCUCCUAAUGCUGUCCCUCCCCCCUCCCCCCGCCCCAGGAUAGGCCCUGGUGUGUGAUGUUCCUCACCCUGUGUCCAAGUGUUCUCAUUGUUCCAUUCUCACCUGUGAGUGAGAACAUGUGGUGUUUGGUUUUCUGUUCCUGUGUUAGUUUGCUUAGAAUGAUGGUUUCCAGCUUCAUCCAUGUCCCUAUAAAGGACAUGAACUCAUCCUUUUUUAUGGCUGCAUAGUAUUCCAUGGUGUAUAUGUGCCAGAUUUUCUUAAUCCAGUCUAUCAUUGAUGGACAUUUGGGUUGGUUCCAAGUCUUUGCUAUUGUAAAUAGUGCCAAAAUACACAUACGUGUGCAUGUGUCUUUAUAGCAGCAUAAUUUAUAAUGCUUUGGAUACAUACCCAGUAAUGGAAUCGCUGGGUCAAAUGGUAUUUCUAGUUCUAGAUCUUUGAGGAAUCGCCACACUGUCUUCCACAAUGGUUGAACUAGUUUACAGUCCCACCAACAGUGUAAAAGUGUUCUUAUUUCUCCACAUCCUUUCCAGCACCUGUUGUUUCCUGACUUUUUUAAUGAUCGCCUUUCUAACUGGCGUGAGAUGGUAUCUCAUCGCACUCACACUUUCUUGCUUGCUUGCCUUCCUCCCUUUCUUCUUUCCUUUCUGUCUUUCAUCUGUCCAUCUCUCCAGCCCAUAGGCUCUGGGGUGGUGGUAUCAGUGCCUAAGAGUUGCAAGCGUGCUACUUAAAUAGGUGUAACCAGGCAAUUAGCAGAGUUGACUCAUUCUUUAGAGGUCUUUGUUUCAGAAAAAUGAACUAAAAAUCAUGAUCUAAAAGCAGCUGGCUUCAUUGUAUUGUGCAUAAGGUGAUUCAUUCCAGUCUUUCUUAGACAUUAACAGAUUGCAUAUGAAUAACAUAGGAUUAUAGUAUCUCAUGUUUGAAAAGGUCUUGGGGGACAUCCAUUCUAGUUAUGCUUUUUGAUGAGUGACUUCCCUCUCUAAUAUCUAGCCACAGGCAUCUUUGAUAAGCAUCUUUUGAAACUGUUGUAUCAGAAAGCUCUCUUGUAUUACCUUCUGUGCACUGAUCUCUUAUCCCUUUGCAGUUGUGAGAAACAAGUUUAGUUCCUCUCAAAUGUGACAGAUCAUCAAAUAUUUGGAGGCAGCUCCUCUAGCUCAAGAUGCCUUUUAUAAGAAGCUGUCCCCAGUUCCUUUACUUACUCCUCAUAAUGCACACUGCUGUGUGUAAUCUAUGCUCAUUAGUCUGAACAUUACUGAGCUGAGUAAGGAUAUCAAAAUUUAUGAAGACCAAAAAGAGAUCUGUAAAAUUAUCAUAAUUAAUUUAGUAAUGGCAAAGCUAGUAAUAAAUUCUAUUUCAAAUAUGUGGCUGAGUCCCUCUGAAGUUCCAUUUUAGGAUUUGGUUCUUUGAAUGAUUUAAAAUUCAUUAUACCAGUUUGCUUAGGGGAUGAAUAUUUUCAUUAAUCAGAGUUUGGAAGCCAGGUAUGGGUUACAUGUGUAUUAUGACAACAGCUGCCAUUGCUGACUGCUAAGUAGGUACUAGGCACUGUAUAAUUCUUAGAUAAUUAUGGACUAAAAUAUUUCAGGAAGAAAGUGAGCUUUAAAUAUGCAGAAAAAGGUCAUAGGAUAUUAGGGGGUAUGUUUCAUAUCGUCAAAAACAUAAAAUCGCUGUAAUCCCAGUACUUUGGGAGGCUGAGGCAGGUGGAUCACCUGAGGUCAGGAGUUCAAGAUCAGCCUGACAAACAUGGUGAAACCCCGUCUCUAUUAAAAAUACAAAAAUUAGCUGGGCAUGAUGGCAGGCGCCCACAAUCCCAGCUACUCGGGAGGCUGAGGCAGGAGAAUUGUUUGAACCCAGGAGGUGGAGGUUGCAGUGAGCCGAGAUCGUGCUAUUGCACUCCAGCCUGGGUGGCAAGAGUGAAACUCCAUCUCAAACAAAGAAACAAAAAAACGAACCAACCAAUGAAACAACAACAACAACAACAAACCCAUAAAAUCCCAUUGGCUGGGGAAGACAGCAAGUUUCUUCAAUGUCAGCAGUAAAACUUUCUUGAAUAAUAUGCUGUUAGUAUUUGUGCAUUGUGUCAUUAAGCCAGUCCAUUGAUCUUUAUUAUCUUGUUUAGAUACUGAUAUGUCUGAUUAUAUUUUCAGGUGUAUUUCUUGUAAAUUUUUUGUAUCUUUAUUGCCUUUGAUAAAAGUUUAAAUUAAAAAUGAGGCCAGGUGUGGUGGCUCACGCCUGUAAUCCCAGCACUUUGGGAGGACAAGGCAGGAGGAUCGCUUGAGCUCAGGAGUUCAAGACCAGCCUGGGCAACAUGGUGAAACCCUGUCUCUACCAAAAAUACAGAAAAUUAGCCAGACAUAGUGGUGCACACCUAUGGUCCCAGCUCCAGCGACUCAGGAAGCUGAGGUGUGAGGGUUUCUUGAGCCCAGGAAGCAGAUGUUGCAGUCAGCUGAAAUCAUGUCACUGCACUGCAGCCGGACAGAGUGAGGUCUCGUCUCAAAAUACAAAAAAACAAAUAAAACCAAAAACUAAAAGUUGCAUGGAAUGGCAUUUACACAGCUGUUAAAUAUUGCAGACUUUCAUUUUUCUUUGUGAAUGUCUAAGGCCAUGAUGGUAUUUUGGAAACAUCUUUUUAAAAAAAUAUGAGGUAUUUGGUGGUGGUGGUGGGGUCUAUUCUCUAUUUAAAAAGGAACGAAUCCUAAUGGCUAAGUAAGGUCAAGGGACUUUAAUACACAUCUUUAACAUGGUCCUACCUUUUUAAGUGAAUUUUCUUUGUCUUUUUUUAUAUUAUGACACAGUAACUGGGAAGAGAAUCAUGCAAUAAAUAUCGUCAUCACCAGUAAGUCUAGAAUAGCGUGCAAAAUUUCUGUGCUAUCUUUUUUGUUCCAUUUUGGACCUGCUUCUUUCUGUUUUGUUUCCAGUGGCAGUGGAGAAAAGCUUGUUUUUUAUGCAAAACAUCCCAAUAGUAUAGAAGAGAAAAAUUGCACAAUAGCAGUUUCUAAGCAAUGAAUGAGAGGACAUGUAUGUUGGUGACUUUGUUGUUCCUCUUCAUCCCUCCAAUAAAUAAAACAGAGUUUUUGUGGACAGGGAUUUAUUAGAGUUUCAUCAUUUAGUUGACUGGCUUAUUAAAUUCCACAUAGAAAACUAGCUUGACUCUCCACAUUUCUGUCCUUUAAGUAAGGUGACCUGCUUGAUGCUGGAUUGAUGUUUCAAAUUAUUUUAAAAAAUUCAGGCUACUCUAUAAGAAAAGCUUAUUUGGGUGGAAACGCCUUCCUGUGAGAUGAGAGUUCUAAGUGAAGCGUUAUGGCCUAUGGUUAUGACUAGCUGGGGUAGCAUAGAUGGUGGUGGAGCAGAUAGAAAAAGCAGGGCAAGUUUGAAGUGCUCAGUGGUGCUAUCCUUUCGCAACCCUCUUUCCCUUACUUUCAGGAAACGUAUGCUCUAGAACUAGGGUUUGAAUUGGGUCAGUAUUGAAAUGAUCUUAGCGAGAGGCCAACUUGCUGGACUUCUCAUGUAGAUCUGUAGUUAUACAGGUUAGCUCAUUAAACCCAGUGACAGUAGAUGGUCAUUUAUUUCGUGUUUAUUACAGUAGAUGGUCAUUUAUUUAGAGUUUAAGAAAACCCCACAGUAGAUAGUCAUUUAUUUAGAGUUUAAGAAAACCCCACUAAGAUUUGUAGAUAGUGUUUUAUAGUUUUAUAUAUAUUAACUCUUUUUAGUUUUUACAAUUAUGCUUGGUAGUAGGUAGAAAUUUUAAAAAGAAAAAAAUUACUCCAGAUACAUCCAUGUGGAGACAUUGAGAGGUAUAUUUUAUCUAUUUGAGGACAGCUGGCUUUCUCCUUAGAUACUAGUAUCUUGACUGUGGUGCAGGGAGUGGCUUUCAGCCUUCCAGACUCAGAAACUAGAAUUUAUUGUAUCACUGUAUUAAGCAUCCGCCUCUUAUUGUGAAACUCACAUAAUCAGCCAAGUCUGCCUGACUAAAUUAUUCUCUUCCUAUAGGCCUCUGGUUCUUAUUUUAAGAUUAAAGACCCUUUUGAGAAUCCUACUAAGUGAGAGCCUCCCCCUCCCAAAAGGGCACUAACUCACUUACACAGAUUUAUCUGAAAAGCUACACUAUAGCUAGAAUGUCCAGUUUGCUACGUUGCAUUAAACACUGGCUCCCACAGGAGCCUACGUGCCCAGCAUCUGUGUGGCUGGAGCUCUCUCUCGUGGGUCGCCCUUGUGGGAAGCAAAAUGACCAUCAGAAGGUGGUGUAGCGAGCACAGACCCAUGGUCGGAUGAGUCAGAUGGUUACUUGGGACCAAGUCACCCCUCCUAGGGGUGGCUUACGCUGGAUGUCCAGUACUUGAAAUCCCUGACUACGCUGGCUUUGGGACAAGUCAUCUUUCCGUAUUUUCAUGUUUCCCAUCGUAAUUGGUGGGCACACCUCCACUGGAUUUGAGACUAUGGUUCAUGAAACCACUGCCAAAGCUGCCUAGACCAGAAACCUUUGGCAUUUCUCGGCCGUUUGUGUUAUGUAUUGAUUUAAAGUUUUUAUUCUCAGAGAGCAAGCUUUUUUCUUUAUUUAGAGAUUCUUGGAAAUGGCUUCAUAAUACUCAUCAUCUUAGUUUAGAAGAAGGAAAUUCAGGUUCAGGGAGAAGCUAAUUGCUCAAGGUCGCGUUGAUAACAAAUGGUGCAGCUGAGCUUCAAACCCAGGUUUUCUGAUUCCAAAUUCAGCAUAUUUUCAGAAAAGCCUUCAGACUGUCUUUUUCCUGGUGAAUCUUAUUUUAUGAGGAGGGGGCUCAUGGAUUUGAGUAGAGGAGCACUGUCAAUUUCAGACAUUAGUAACACAGUUUGAAAAUGCAUUGUAUUCAUUCAGUAAAGAUUAUCCACUGCAGAGGUCUGAGGAAGUGCUCCAGUAGCAUAAUUUCACUGGCCACGUUAACGUAAUAAUAAAUACAUUAAUAAUUCCCUAGAAGAAAAGAUGUCAUAGAUUCCAUGUUAAGUAAUAAGAUUGUUAUUAAUAAUGAUGGCAAAGUUAUAACUGGAGAAAAGCUACAUGUCAUGAGUUCUUAAUGUUUUCUUAUCCCAAACAUCUUUUUGUGAUUUUAGGUGCAUUCUUAAUUAAAAUUCAUCUCCAUGCCUGCCAGUUGGUAAAUGAGUAUCCCUGACUUGAACACAUUUGUCAGUUACUCUAGAAAUAAAGGAUUUUUUUUUUUUUUUUUUGAGACAGUCUCGCUCUCUUGCCCAGGCUGGAGUGCAGUGGUGUGAUCUCGGCUCACUGUAACCUCCGCCUCCCAGGUUCAACUGAUUCUCCUGCCUCAGCCUCCUGAGUAGCUGGGACUACAGAUGUGCUCCACCAUGCCUGGCUAAUAUUUUUGUACUUUUUGUAGAGACAGGGUUUUGCCACAUUGCCCAGGCUGGUCUCGAACUCCUGGCCUCAAGUGAUUCAACUGCCUUAGCCUCCCAAAGUGUUGGGAUUAGAGGUGUGAGCCACUGUGCCUGGACUGUAAAGGAUUUUUAAUGUUAAACUUGGCAGUCAUUAGCAGUUCAUUCUAAAUUGUGAUGGAAAAUUAAUGGAGCAGGUUGCAUAUCUAACCCCUACCCAGAAAGGUUGUUGAGCUCAGCUUGGGACAGAGUUGUAUUUGUCAGGAACACAUUAGUAAAUCCACUUACGGCUUUUGCCUUCUUCACCUAGUAAUGCGCGUGGAGCUUUUCCUCGUCAGCAGUAUAUAGAUCUGUUCAGUGUUUGGAAUCGCUGCAUGAGAUGUCAGAACUCUGAUCUACUUAACCCUGUGGCAUAAGCCCAAGAGCAAUUGCAGUGAAUGUUCUUACACAGGUGCCUUUGGGUCUAUGUGUGAGCCUUUCUCUAAGAUGGACGCCUAGAAAUCAGUAAGGUAUGGGCAUAGUCUCCUCUACGUAGAGCUGCAAAGAAAUUCUAAUUUUAUUCAGAAGCUUUACUGUUAAGAGUAAUAUUAUUUUUAGUUUGAAAUUAUUUCAUAUAAACAAUUAUUUCAUAUAUAUAGUUGGGUAAAACAAAAAAGAACAAUAUUGUUUUUGGUUAGAACCAAGAAUUUAAGUGUAAAUGAAGAGCCACAUGAGUACAAGAGUUAAAUAAAAAUUCUGUAAGAUCAGUUUUGAAUUGGAAAGUUAUUUGAAAUUCAUGAUUUUUUUUUCAAAUAUGUGUACUUAUCAUCCCCAGUCUUUAAAAAAAUCAAAGAAGCAGUUGCAUUUCCAUCACGUAGGCACCCCAUACACCUGCGCCUGACUCCAGGUGUGGGCGAGAUGAGCCUGGACCCUCUGUUAUCAGUUGUGUCAGAAAACAAAGGAGCCAUCCAAGAAAUGUGGUGGGCACCAUCCCUAACUAACUCUGAGGCCAGAAGAAGGGGUUUCCACUGGCUAAAAGUGAGACACCCUGAACAUCAAAAGAAUAUGACUGAUACAAACCCCCUGUGGUGGGCAUGGGCAGAAUGAUGCCCCCUGAAAUAUCCACAUCUUAAUCCCCAGAACCUAUGAACAUGUUAUGUUAUAUGACAAGGGGGCAUUGGGGUGUAGGUGGCAUCACAGCAGCUAAGGUGCUGAGUUUAAGAUAAAGAGAUUAUCCUGGAUGAUCUAGGUGGGCCCUAGUGUUACUGCGAGGGAGGCGGAGAGUUGGUGUCAGAGCGAUGCAACAUGAGAAUGAGUCAACCAGCCACUGCUGGCCUUUUGAGGAAGGAGGAAGGGGCCAUGGACCGAGGAAUGUGGGCAGCCUGUAGAAUCUGGCAAAGGCAAGGAAAUGGCCUGUCCCUUACAGCCUCCAUGUGAGACCGCAGCCCUACUGACACUCUGACCCACCUUAGCCCAAGGAGGCCCAUUUCAGACCUCUGACCUGCAGAUCUGUAAGAGAGUCAAUUUCUGCUUGAUUUAAGCCACCAGGUUUGUGGUAAUUUAUUAUGGCUGCAAUAACAAACUAAGAUACUCAUGCUAUCCCCAAGAGAUCCCCAAACAAGACAGAAGAGAACACCUCAUUGAUCACCACCAGCAGUAGAACCAAGGCACCUACUCUGUCUCUGAAUAGUGGCAAUUGAAAAGGUAAAGAAUUAAGCAUUUAUCCUGCCUUUGCUGUAAAAACUGCUUCUUAGGGUAUUCAGAACCCUAGUUGAUGGUUGGAGUGGUGGGACAGGAAUUUUGUUUUUUUUUUUCUUUGCGACAGGCUCUCGCUCUGUCACCCAGGCUGGAGUACGGCAGUGGUGUGAUCACAGCUCACUUCAGGCUCAACCUGCUGGGCUUAACUGAUCCUCCCACGUAGCUGGGACUACGGGCACACGCUACCAUGUUUUUUUUUUUUUUUUGGUAGGUAUGGGGUUUCGCCACGUUGCCAAGACUGGUCAAGGAUUCCUGGGCUCAAUGAUCUGUUCACUGCGGCCUCUCAAAAAGUUGGGAUUGCAGGCUUGUGCCACUGUGCCCAACCAAUGAAUGAGGGGACUUCUUUUUUUAUUUUUAUUAUUUUUUUUUUGAGAUGGAGUCUCACUCUGUCCCCCAGGCUGGAGUGUAGUGGCAUGAUCUCAGCUCACUGCAAGCUCCAUGUCCCGGGUUCAUGCCAUUCUCCUGCCUCAGCCUCCUGAGUAGCUGGGACUACAGGCACCCGCAACCCCGCCCAGCUAAUUUUUUGUAUUUUUAGUAGAAACGGGGUUUCACCGUGUUAGCCAGGAUGGUCUCGAUCUCCUGACCUCGUGAUCCGCCCGCCUCAGCCUCCCAAAGUGUUGGUAUUACAGGAGUGAGCCACCGAGCCUGGCCGAGGGGACUUCUUUACAGAAGAAUGGCAGCAAAUUAAUGUGGAAGGAAUGGUGAAAUAAAAAAAAAAAUCCCCAUUUUGCAAUUCUUAAUGAAAAUAUUGAUUUAGGCAAAGAUCAUCAAUGUAUGAUAUCACUAAAUGAAAGACUGAUGGGGAACUUCAGAUGGAGAGAUCAGACUAUCACCAAUUGAAUUUUCUAAGUAAAUUUUGCAUCACUAGGAUGAAAUAACUGUGUCCCCUAAUGUGAGGCAAUAUAAGUACCAAAACCAUCUCAAAAGUAUUCCUGCCCCCAAAUGAUGGACUUGAAUAUGAUCAAGCCUUUUGAGGUAACUUUCAGUUUAUAGGAAAUAUGGAGAGAGAGGAACAAUGAAAGACCUUAUAAGGAAGCAACAGACAGAAAGGGCAUCCCCCGUGAUGGCUUCCUCGGCUUCCUCAGGGGGUCACUGCAGAUAAAGGUCAGGGGUGGGGACAGUCAGGUGCUCUCGAUGAGAAGAGAUUUAAGAGAUGGCACUAUCAGAUGCAUGUGUGGAUCUUGAUUAGAUCCGGAUUGAAACCCACCAGCUAUACAAAAGACACUUGAGUCAUGGAAAUGUGGUUAGAGACUGGGCAUUGGAUCUUCGGGAAUUAUUAAUUCGAAGGGGAAGUUGGGAAGUGAUAAUAGACUGUGUUUAUAUGAGAAAAUUAUCCAUAAUUUUUAGAAAUGCAAACUGAAAUAGGCUAAAACGACAUGUGUUCUGAGACUUGUUAUUGAUUGAUUGAUUGAUUGAGAUGGAAUUUUGCUCUUGUUGCCCAGGCUGGAGUGCAAUGGCACAAUCUUGGGUCACUGCAACCUCCGCCUCCCGAGUUCAAGCAAUUCUCCUGCCUCAGCCUCCCAACUAGCUGGGAUUACAGGCAACUGCCACCAUGCCCAGCUAAUUUUUUGUAUUUAGUAGAGGCGUGGUUUCAUCAUGUUGGCCUGGAUGGUCUUGAACUCCUGACCUCAGGUGAUCCUCAGAUGAGCCACUGUGCCUGGCUGAGAUUUGUUUUAAAAUGCUUUAAAAAAUAAAGGUGGGAUAAGUCGGGUGGAGUGGCCCAUGCCUGUAAUUCCAGCACUUUGGGUGGCCAAGGCAGGUGGAUCAGUUGAACCAGGAGUUCAAGACCAGCUUGGGCAACACACCAAAACCUCAUGUCUACAAAAAUUAGUUGGGCAUGGUGGCACACACCUGUAGUCCUAGCUACUUGGGAGGCUGAGGGGGGAGGAUCACUUGAGCCCAGGAGAGUGAGGCUGAAGUGAGCUGAGAUUGCACUCCUGCACUCUAAUUUGAGCAACAGAGUGCGACUCUGUCUCAAAAAAAGAGAAAAGUAAAAGAAAAAAAAUGGAGGGUGGGGUAGGGAAAAGUAGCAGAUUACAAUCUUUGUAACUUCAAUGAGGUGCUGAGUGAUGGGUCUAGGUGUUCACCAUAUUAUAUCCUUUUGCAUGUUUGCAAACUUUUGCAAUAAUUUUUCAAAACAGUAGAGAAGAUGGCUAGAUGUGAAGAUCACAACUGUGUCCCUGCAGGGCUAAUGGAAGCCUCAGUUUUCCCAAUGUCAUGUUUAAUAGCACUGGUGACUUAAGAUGUACUAUAUAAUUUCUAUGACAGCAUCAUACACAGAUGCAAAAUGUACUGCAUCUCAAACAACUUAGAUUGACGGGAGGAUGAUGUGUUUUUUGGAAACUGCAUUAAAUGACUCAAAAAGAGGCUCUGUGACACUGAUUCCAAAGAUGCAGGUAGAGUUUUAAGAGGCUCAUUUGCAACCUAAGAGUCCCGACUAAUCCAACCAGAGUGGACAGAUUUACAACUUCUUGACCUGAAGGCUUGCUAUAGAAGGAUGAGAAAAAAAAUGCAAGAAGGCUAUUGAAAGGAGAAAGCACAGUAAGAGAUCAUACUUUAGAAAACGAUGAUCUGUUUACUUCCUGAGUGCGAAAGACUUCACUGACUUCAUUCAGAUGAUGGGUAUCUAUUAAAUAACGGCUCUGAUGUUUAAAUUUAGCAGAAAAAAAAAAUAACCCAUGCUCUUUAAGAUAAUCUACCUCUAAGCAUACUAUCCAUGCCUAAUGAAACCUUGCAAUGUAAGUCUCUCUUAUUAAAAUUAUGUUAACAGCUUUCUAUUUUUAAAUUACUUGAAUAUUAAUUUGUGAAAACAUUUCAGAAUAAUCAUUUUAAAAUAAAUAAGUGUUUCAUGGCUGGGUGCGGUGGCUUAUCAUGCCUGUAAUCCCAGCACUUUGGGAGGCCGAGGCGGAUGGAUCACCUGAGGUCAGGAGUUCGAGACCAGCCUGGCCGACGUGGUGAAUCCCCGUCUCUACUAAAAAUACAAAAAUUAGGCAGGCGUGGUGGUGGGCACCUGUAAUCCCAGCUACUCAGGAGGCUGAGGCAAGAGAAUCACUUGAACCCAGGUGGCGGAGGUUGCAGUGAGCCGAGAUUGCGCCACUGCACUCCAGUCCGGUGACAGAGCAAUAUCCUGUCUCAAAAAAAGAGUGUGUUGCUCUAAACCGGGCCUCACUAAGUAAUUACCAACAGGACCAGUGUGAAGAAUAAAGUUUAUUAAGAGAAAAAUUUAAAAAAGUCUGAGUGAAUUGAGAGCUGUAACGUAUUUCUAGACAGGAAAACUCGACAUUGUGAAGAUGUCAGGUCUCUACAAAUUAAUCUGUAAAUUCAAGACCAAAAUUCAAAAGAGAAUCAUUCCAAAUGAGAAUUUUAAAGAAACUCACAAGCCAGUGCUCAUUCAUCUGAAGAAAAAAUGGGCAAAAAUAACCAAUACAAUUUUGGAAAAGUAAAACAAUGGAGAUCUGCUCUAAUAUAAAACAUUCCUCUAGCAACUAAAACAGUGUAAAUAUUCAUGCAUAGAUGUGUACACAUCAGUUUGGUUUAUGUUAAAUACAGGUGGCAUUUCGAGUGGAGGAGGAAGAGUGAUGUGUGGUAGCUAUCUAUCAAAUAAAGCCAUAAUUCCUCCACGUUAUACACAAAAAUAAAUUCCAGGGUAUUUAAUGAGAUAAUAAAAAAGCUAAAAAUACAAAAAGGGAAUAUAUUCUUAUUGUGGAGUACAGAUACUCUGGGCUUUCCUAAGCAAACCCCAAACCUGGAAACCACAAAGGAGGAGAUGAAUGGAUACAAGGACAUGAAUGAAAAGUUGGCAUGUGACAGAGAUCUCAGAAUCCAAAUUAAAAGACAGGCGGAAAAAUUACAUUGCAUGACCUUCUGUGGAGCAUGUUUUAGUUUGUAAGUCUUAUCUGCUUAGACAGUGCAUGCUUACUAAAAUUCCUGACUGGCUCUUGUCCUAGGGAAGAGAGGGGGUAGGAGGCCUGGACUGUGGGUGUCCAGGAAGUAAGGCAAUUUGUAUCAAAUGAGUCACCUCUUUGCUAGUGGUAAUUUCAUCUCUCAGUCAUUGGGAAGGAAGAGUUUGCUUUAAAAAUGCCACAGAAAGAUGGACGUUGAUUUCAUGGGUGGUAAUUUAGGAAUUCUUCUCACAUGGCUACAAAAAUAAGUCAGUCCGAAAGUGGAGGCUAUUUGUGGCCUGGCAUUUUUCUGUGUAUUUUUUUUUCUUAGAUACUGUCAUCCAUUGUCUGUUCGAUAAGGUUAUUUGGGGCAGGCUAACAGGACUUACACGAUUCUUCCUGAGAGGUCCCCUUGGUUUCUCUCACUUCAGCCUUGCCUGCGGUCCCUUAGAUUCUGUCGCUGAGCUGUAGUGAACUGGGUUCUGGGGCACUCUGCAGUUGCCCCUGUGGAGGCUGACCGGUCACACUGUGUUGGGACUGUCUGUGUCCUCUCCUGUCACCCCCUCAGGACAUGGGCUCCUUGAAGGCAGGGGAUGAGUGGGGUUCACGGUGUAUUCUGAGGGUCAGACUCAGUGCCUGGCUCAGGGUAAGGAUGCAGCACCUAUCUUUUGAAUGAGCGAAUGGGUGAAUGAACAGAUGAGUUGUCUUUUCCUUUUCCUCCCAAUGAGUCUAUGUAUUUAAUAGCCUAUAUUAGACAUAGCUAAUAUACCAAGUAUUUGACUCUUUAGAGAGAGCUGUGGCAAAGAUUUGAUUCUUCAAAUGGUGCAAGAUCAGAAAUUCUUGAAUUCAUUCGAAUGUACAAAAAUAUUGUAUAGGUUAUAAUAUCAUAUUUCAACUCCAAAUUUGGACAGAUUUGGCAUUAUAGCUUUUAUAAACUAUGAAAGAUAGUUUUCUCUAAACAAUGCUAUGGCAGCUUAUGUGAGAAAAAUUAGUACUAGAGAAAAGCUAAUGAUUUAUUAAUGAGUAAGGAAAUAUGCAAAUAUGAAACUAGAAUCAACUGGGGGCAGAAGUAGGGAGGUGGGAGUAAAUGCCUAAAAUCUUUGGGAGUACUUUUUCUGGAAGACUAUGAUUUGUUUUGAAAAGUGGCUUUGAAAGCUCUGCUUAUAGCCAUGUGGUAGUUCCCCCAUUAUCUGUGGUUUUGCUUUUAGCAGUUUCAGUUGUCCGAAGUCAAUCGAGGCCUGAAAAUAUUAAAUGGAAAAUUCCAGAAAUAGAUAAUUGCUAAGUUUUAACUUGUAUGCCAUUUUGACUAGAAAGAUGAAAUCUUGCACCAUUCUGUCUGGAAUGUGAUUCUUUGUUCAAAGAAUCCUCAGUGUAGAUGCUACUGCCCUGUGAGUCCCUUAGUACCUGGCUUAGGUAUCAGAUCCUUUGUAACCUUUAUUUUAUUUAAUGAUAGCCCCAAAGCUCGUGAGUAGCAAUGCUGGCAGUUCAGAUAUGCCAAAGGGAAGCUGCAAAGUACUGACUCAGUGAAAAGGUGAACAUUCUCAAUGUAAGAGAACAGAAUAAAUCAUAUGUGGAGGUUUCUAAGAAGUAAGAAUGUUCUGUCCAUGAAACUGUGAACUGUGAAAUUAUAUUGCUAUAAUUGUUCUAUUAGCAGUUAUUGUUGAUCCCUUACUGUGCCUAACUGAUAAAUUUAUCUUUAUCAUAGAUGUGUAUGUAUAAGAAAAAACAGUAAAUAUAGGAUUCUAUACUAUCUGCAGGUUCAGGUAUCCACUGGCCUUGUAUUUUCUUUUUUAGUCAAGAUGAUUUGAGAAACUUAGAUACAGGGAAACCCUGUGCCUGGUCACGUGAAUGGAAAGGCCGUCUUUAUUAAUGAAAACAUGGCUUAAGCUGUUGUAACCAAGAGACCCCAAAAUGUGAUGGCCCCCAAGCCCAGGCCACACCACAGACCAAUUACAUCAGACUCUCCCUGGAGAGGACCAGGCACCAAGAUUUUUAGAAUUCUUCCCAGGUAAUCCUAAAGUCUAGGUAAAGUUGAGAACCACUGGCCUGGAGUUAUUCAGAACUGACUAGGGAGGGGACUGAGUUUUGCAGCCCACAGCUAUCCCUCAUCCUGGGCUCGUAGAACAGCUCCGCCUGCCUCCCUAUAGGGCCUUCACCUCUCGGCCAGGCCUCGUGUUAUGGUUGUUUCCCACUCAGGAGGAAGUGGAGUGCACAAGUUCCUUUUAAGGAAGUGAACUGGAAGUAGCAUGUUUCACUCACAUUCCAUUGGCGGGUGCUAGGACAUGUGACUAUGUAACCGCAAUAGAGGUUGAGAAAUGUGACGUGAAUCUGGUUGGCCAUCUGCCCUGCUCAUUUUUGAAGUGGGAAGGUUUCUGUUACUGAUAGGUAGAAGAGUGUAAUGGUUACCAUGCUAUCCAUUAAUUAAAACUAUUUAUUAUCAAUUACCAAUUAUCAACUCUAAAGCUGAACAGAGUUCAACUGACCUCAUAUAUAUAAUUAUGUCAUGUGAGAUAAUUAUACACAUACACACACAGGCAAGCUAUGAACUAGAUGCAAAGACUUGGGAGAGGCUUUAGUUUACAUUAAUUACAAAGUUUUAAAGUUUACACUUACUAAGCUUUUAGUUUAUAUUAAUCAUAAAGUUGUUGCUCUUUGUUCCACUAUCAUUUAUGAGUUGUUUAGGAGUGAAAACCUGCUGUGGGCGACUUUUUCAUUUGUUUGGGCUCCCUUGGUGCAAGCUGUUUAAAGAGGCAGAAAAGCGAUUUUAGCCAAAACGUAUUCCGGUGAUGUCAGUUGCAAUCCUGGGUCAUCACAUAAAGGUUAUAGCAACUUCAAGGGUGUAGAAUCUGAAAAAAGUUAAGGUUAAAUAGGAAUAUCAUUUUUGGUAGGGCACCACAUUUUCUAGAGCCCCCUUUUUAUUAUCUUGCUAUAUACACUCUUAAUUGUAGAAACCAUUCUUGAAGGGUUGGGGAAGGCUCCAUGGUGUUGGUGGGUACAGAUUUAGUAUAAAUGAAUUAGUCUUACUCAUCUUUCUAUAUUCUUGUGGCCAGAAUACUUCCAGACCCAUAACAGAUCCUUAGCAAAUAUUAACUGACGUGAAUAUGCUUGUAUCAUUGUGUAGUUUAUUUAGAAAGAUGAUGCUCUUUCACUCCUUUGUGGACAUUUCGCAGUGACAUGUUGAGUCCUUUGGUAUGCAACAGUGUUGAAGGUGGGGGAUUGAGUACUAGAAUGAUUGCUGAUGUCUCUUUAAGGGUGGUGAGCGACACAGGGACUUCUAUCAUUAACAGUUAGAAAGAGUGAAUAAGACCUGCUGUGCAAUAACACAACAGAGUGACUAUAGUCCAUAAUAACUUAAUUGUACAUUUUAAAAUAACUUAAAGAGUAUAAUUGGAUAAUUUGUAACUCAGAGGAGAAAUGCUGGAGGGGUUGGAUACUCCAUUCUUCAUGAUGUGCUUAUUUCACAUUGCAUGUCUAUACCAAAAUAUUUCAUGUCCCCAUAAAUAUAUCUACCUACUGUGUACCCAUAAAUGUUAAAAGAUAAAUUAAAAAGAAAAUCAUGACUGUCCAUCGUGGGAAAUGAUACAGCAGUGAUGUACAGCAAGCAGUAGGAACAGAGGUGGGAGGGCUCACCUCUGCAGAGUUGGAGAGGGCUGCAUAGUGUUGGUGACCCCUGAACUGGGUCAUGGAGGAUGAGUAGGAGAUUUUCAUGUGAAAAGGAAAGGGCAUUAGAGGGAAUGGUAUUUACAGAGUGAUGGAGCUGGAAGAGCCUGUGUCUUUCAUGAAAAAUGAAAAAGUCAAGUGUGGCUGCAGUGUGAGAAGGACAACAGCAAGACCUGGUUGAGGCAGCCUCCUUGAAAAUGCUCCCUGCAGUACCCUAAGGGGUUUGGACGCUGGGCAAAGCGAGAGGCCCUUGCAAUCUUUUUUUUUUUUUUUUUGAGAUGGAGUCUGAUUCAGGCUGGAGUGCAUGGCAUAAUCUCAGCUCACUGCAACCUCCACCUCCCAUGUUCAAGCAAUUCUCCUGCCUCAACCUCCUGAGUAGCUGGGAUUACAGGUGCCCACCACCAUGCCCAGCUAAUUUUUGUAUUUUUAGUAGUGACGGGGUUUCACCAUGUCAGCCAGGCUGGUCUGGAAUUCCUGACCUCAGGUGAUCCCCCUGCCUCGGCCUCCCAAAGUGCUAGGAUUACAGGUGUGAGCCACCAUGCCCAGCAGCCCUUGCAGUCUUUUAAAUGAGAUGAUUACAUGGUCCGAUUUAUAUUUUAGAAAAAUUACUCUUGGAAACAAGGAGGCUGCAACCCUCCCUGCAUGAGGCUCCCUGACCCCAGUCUCAGUCCUCUAAUAACGCCACAGCCCUAGAACAUAGUCUCCUCUGUAUUAUUCCUGAUUUAAAGGAUUUUGAUGAAAAGGCAAAUGGAUUCUGAAAUGAUUCUUAUAACUAAUUUAUUUUAUUUUUAUUUUUUAUUUUUUGAGGCAGAGUCUUGCUCUGUCACCCAGGCUGGAGUGCAGUGGCGCGAUCUUGUCUCACUGCAGCCUCUGCCUCCUAGGCUUAAGCAAUCCUCCCACCUCAGCCUCCCAAGUAGCUGGGACCACAGACACGUACCACCAUGCCUGGGUAAUUUUUUUAUAGUUUUGGUAGAGAUGGGUGAUAUGGUUGGGCUGUGUCACCACCCAAAUCUCAGCUUGAAUUGUACUCCCAUAAUUCCCACUUGUGGUGGGAGGGACCUGGUGGGAAAUAAUUGAAUCACGGGGCAGUUUCUCCCACACUGUUCUCGUGGCAAUGAGUAAGUCUCACGAGAUCUGAUGGUUUGAUAAGGGGAAACCCGUUUCACUUGGUUCUCAUUCUCUCUUUUGCCUGCUGCUAUGUAAGACGUACGUUUUGCCUUCCACCAUGAUUGUGAGGCCUCCCCAGCCACAUGGAACUGUAAGUCCAGUUAAACCCUUUCUCCUGGAUAAAUUACCCAGUCUCGGGUAUAUCUUUACCAGCAGUGUGAAAAUGGACUAAUACAGUGGAGUUUCACCAUGUUGCCCAGGCUGGUCUCAAACUCCUGAGCUCAAGUGAUCCACCUGCCUCGGCCUCUCAAAGUGCUGGGAUUACAGGUGUGAGCCACCACGCCCUGCCUGUUUUAACUAAUUUAAAGGGAUUGUUUCGAGUAUAAAGGUUCAGUCUCUUUAAUUAGGUAAACUGAGGACCCCAUAAAUUUAUUUAUCAUUCUGCUGGUGUCUGUUUGGGGAUGAUUUUUGUAUCUGAUGACUGUUUGUGGGCCAGUGAAAUUCAAGUAUAUUUAAUGUCACCUUAAUAUCUAGUUAUAUUGCAAAGAAAAAAACAUUAAAACAGAAUGUGGAUUAUCAAAAUAUUGUAGGAAAAGCACAAAAUAAAUUUGUAGUUAGCCUGAUUGGAUUGUUAUCUGAGCAUAGAUUGUCCUGUGCUGAAUUGUUUAAUGCUAUGCAAAUUAUAUGAGACUUUCCUGUAAAAGACAUAAGAAACUGAGGAAACUGGAAGAGUUGACAUUAAACUAUUUAAGAUUAUUUUACAGACUACAUCAGAAUCCUGGCGGAGUUUGGUGAUUUUAAAUCUAGUGGUCAAGUUUUUAUUGUGACUUUGGAUAACAGAGCUCUAUUCUGUGUGCUUGUUGAGUGGUUUGUGGAAAAUACUUAGUAACUACAUAUAAAGAAAGUAGUUUCUUUAUAUAUAUAGGGGAACAGAAUCUUGAUAUGAUUGUGUGGUCAUUAAAAAGAAUCUUUUGGUUUUCUUGGUGGUCAGUAAUAGUAACAAUUCUCAUUUGUGUGCUGCUUAUAGUUUAUUAAUUUUUUUUUUUUGAGACAAGGUCUGUCGCCCAGGCUGGAGUGCAGUGGUGAGAUCAUAGCUCACUGCAGCCUCAAACCCCUGGGCUCAAGUAAUUCUACCUCAGCCUCCUGAGUAACUGAGACUACAGGUUCAUGCCACCAUCUUGGCUGGCUGUUUAAUUUUUUGUGUAGAGAGCGGUUCUCGCUAUGUUGCCCAGGCAGUUCUUGGACUCCUGGCCUGAAGUGAUGCUUCUGCCUUAACCUCCUGAAGAGCUGAGAUUAUAGAGCCAGCAAGCCCACUCACUGAUUAUAGUUUAGAAAGCACUCUCUUACAAACUUGUUCAACCUUUACGACUACCUUAUUAUGUGCUACUAGUUUUUCUGGGCAAUAUGUUACCUGUUAAUUAAAAUAUUUGCUUAAAUGCAUUUUAUUUUGGACAUUAGAAUAAAACAUAAUUAAACCUCAGAAUAUGUAGGAUUUCAAUAAUGUGAGGUUAUCUAGCAGUGUCCUAAACACUGUAGUUUCUCUACUAGUAAGGUGUUGACGUACAACCUAGCCCACCUGUUCUUGGCCCAUAGGGAGCAGAUGUCUGGUGGCUGGUCUUUUAACCACUUUUGUAGUAGAAAAAAAUUAAAAUUAUAAUACAAUAUUUAUUAUGCUUACCAUGGAUUUAUGUAUCAGGACCCCAGUAGGCCAUGACAGGUAGGGCUGGUAUAUUUCCAGCCAGUUGGUAUUAAAUUAACACAAGUCAUUAUGCCUCCAAGCAGUAUACAGUGUAUGAUAUACGUAACUCUUAUUUUGGUGAGGAGUAUAAAAGUAAUAAUCCUGGACUCUGGAGGCCAGAAUUUGAUGCUUUAAAACUCUGUAUAAUGAAAAUUUUAAACAUGCACAGAAGGAGAGAAUAGGAGUAUGAAAUUGAUACAGCCAUCCCUCGGCUUUCUCAGUUAUUAAUACUGUAUUAGUCUGUUCUCACACUGCUAAUAAAGACAUACCUGAGACUGGAUAAUUUAUAAACGAAAGAGGUUUGAUGGACUCACAGUUCCACAUGGCUGGGGAGGCCUCACAAUCAUGGUGGAAGGUGAAGGAGGUGCAAACGCAUGUCUUACAUGGCAGCAGGCAAGAGAGUGUGUGCAGGGGAACUCCCCUUUGUAAAACCAUCAGAUCUCGUGAGACUAAUUCACUAUCAUGAAAACAGCAUGGGAAAGAUCCGACUCCAUGAUUCAAUGACCUCCCACUGGGUCCCUCCCUCAACAUGUGGGAAUUAUGGGAGCUACAAUUCAAGAUGAGAUUUGGAUGGGAACACAGCCAAAGCAGAUCAAAUAUAUAGCUAAUUUUGUUUUAUCUAUACCUCCUAUUUUCUUUAGAUUAUUUUGAAGCAUGUCUAGAGAUCGUAUAUAUAUAAUUUCAUCUUUAAAUAUUUCUAUAUGCAUUCCUGAAAGAUAAAAACUCUUUCAGAAUACAAAAGUGAAAGUGGAAUACAAUGCCACUACGAAAAAAAUGCUCCCUUAAUAUUAUCAAAUAGUCAAUGCAUAUUCUCAUUUCUCUAUUUUUUUUAAAGAAUGCUGUUUUACUUGAAUUGAGUUUUUAAUAAGGGCUAUACAUUAUGUUAUUGUUAUUUCUUUUGAUUCUUUUUUGACCUAUACAUUCCUCUGCUAUCAUUAUUUUCUCUUGAGACUUUUUGUUAAAGAUACCAGGUCAUUUUGUUGUGUAGUUUCCCCACACUCAGGGUUUUACUUACUGCAUCCCAAUGGUGCAAUUAAAACAAACAGGCCGGGCGCGGUGGCUCAUGCCUGUAAUCCCAGCACUUUGGAAGGCCGAGGCGGAUGGAUCAUAAGGUCAAGAGAUUGAGACUAUCCUGGUCAACAUGUUGAAACCUUCUCUUUACUAAAAAUACAAAAAAAUCAGCCGGGCGUGGUGGUAGGCACCUGUAGUCCGAGCUACUCGAGAGGCUGAGGGAGGAGAAUCACUUGAAGUCGGGAGGUGGAGGUUGCCGUGAGCUGAGAUUGCGCCACUGCACUCCAGCCUGGCGACAGAGUGAUACUGCGUCUGAAAACAAAAAAACAAAAAACAAAAA